CUGCUCCAUAAGUUCCCACACGAAUUGCUUGAUUCAUUGAAGAAGACGAAAGAAGCAGCCCGAAAUUGGGUCUGUAGCUCAGUUGGUUAGAGCGCACCCCUGAUAAGGGUGAGGUCGGCAGUUCGAAUCUGCCCAGACCCACCAAUUUUGUGUGGGAAACGCCUGUAGAAAUACGGGGCCAUAGCUCAGCUGGGAGAGCGCCUGCCUUGCACGCAGGAGGUCAGCGGUUCGAUCCCGCUUGGCUCCACCACUACUGCUUCUGUUUGUAUAAAGCUUAGAAAUGAGCAUUCCAUCGUGUCGAUGGUGAAUGUUGAUUUCUAGUCUUUGACUAGUUCGUUCUUUAAAAAUUUGGGUAUGUGAUAGAAAGAUAGACUGAACGUUACUUUCACUGGUGACGGAUCAGGCUAAGGUAAAAUUUGUGAGUUCUCUUAGUUGAGAAAUUCGAAUUUUCGGCGAAUGUCGUCUUCACAG
rnacentral:tRNA from 1 species